rnacentral:rRNA from 1 species
ACGUAGGAGACUAGCGUUAUCCGGAUUUACUGGGCGUAAAGCGCGUGCAGGCGGUUCAGCAAGUUGGAUGUGAAAGCUCCCGGCUUAACUGGGAGAGGUCGUUCAAUACUACUGGACUAGAGAGUGGUAGAGGGAGGUGGAAUUCCGGGUGUAGUGGUGAAAUGCGUAGAGAUCCGGAGGAACACCAGAGGCGAAGGCGACACCCUGGGCCGUACCUGACGCUAAGACGCGACAGCACGGGGAGCGAACGG